UAACCUCGUGUUGCUUGAAUUUUUGGAAAUAAUUCAGUAAUUUUAUUAAGAUGCAAGCUGAAAUUCGUUCCUCUUACUAGAUUACCGUAGCAGUGAUUCAUGAUCUCUUUGAGUGGCGGGUGGACGUGGGCACCAGGUUUACCUUCGAGCUCGAGGGUCAGAGCACUUCGGAUUAGCUCCUUAUUUGAAAUUCCCUCGGUAACAGAAGAUUUGAAGCGAAUUAUCUUCACCUGAGGACGAACCCUGUAUUAGUGUGAUCUGGAAGUCCUCGCUUUCCGUGAUUUGACGUGCAGACCAAUUUGUCAACUGUGGUAUUGGUCCUCAUAACGCAAAUGGUUAUCCCUGCUUUUCGUGUAAUCAAUUUUGCUAUGGGUCAUCCGUUCGUUUAUGUAUUGAGUUAGGUUUCCGGUAAGAAGGGCUUUUUUGUGUGCACCUGUUAGCAUGUCUUGUCUAUAGGGACCAAUAUGUUGCUCGAGGCAAGCUAGGGUUGAGCUAUUUUGAAGUUCCCAAUACAGCUAUGCAGCUCUAGUUAGUGAAAAGUC